GAUGAACGCUGGCGGCGUGCCUAAUACAUGCAAGUCGAGCGAACGGACGAGAAGCUUGCUUCUCUGAUGUUAGCGGCGGACGGGUGAGUAACACGUGGAUAACCUACCUAUAAGACUGGGAUCACUUCGGGAAACCGGAGCUAAUACCGGAUAAUAUUUUGAACCGCAUGGUUCAAAAGUGAAAGACGGUCCUGCUGUCACUUAUAGAUGGAUCCGCGCUGCAUUAGCUAGUUGGUAAGGUAACGGCUUACCAAGGCAACGAUGCAUAGCCGACCUGAGAGGGUGAUCGGCCACACUGGAACUGAGACACGGUCCAGACUCCUACGGGAGGCAGCAGUAGGGAAUCUUCCGCAAUGGGCGAAAGCCUGACGGAGCAACGCCGCGUGAGUGAUGAAGGUCUUCGGAUCGUAAAACUCUGUUAUUAGGGAAGAACAGAUGUGUAAGUAACUGUGCACAUCUUGACGGUACCUAAUCAGAAAGCCACGGCUAACUACGUG
rnacentral:rRNA from 1 species